UACGGGGGGCUGCAGUGGGGAAUAUUGGACAAUGGGCGCAAGCCUGAUCCAGCCAUGCCGCGUGGGUGAUGAAGGCCCUAGGGUUGUAAAGCCCUUUCGGCGGGGAAGAUAAUGACGGUACCCGCAGAAGAAGCCCUGGCUAACUUCGUGCCAGCAGCCGCGGUAAUACGAAGGGGGCUAGCGUUGCUCGGAAUCACUGGGCGUAAAGCGCACGUAGGCGGCUUUUUAAGUCAGGGGUGAAAUCCUGGAGCUCAACUCCAGAACUGCCUUUGAUACUGAGAAGCUUGAGUCCGGGAGAGGUGAGUGGAACUGCGAGUGUAGAGGUGAAAUUCGUAGAUAUUCGCAAGAACACCAUCUUUCUAGA
rnacentral:rRNA from 1 species